GGGCCCGUAGCUCAGUGGUAGAGCAGGCGGCUUUUAACCGCUCGAUGAGAGUUCGAUUCUCUCCGGGCCCACCA
rnacentral:tRNA from 1 species